GGUGGGUGGGAACUGCAGUGCAGGCACUGGAGCUAGCCAGCUGCUUCAGCAUUGGCAGGGGCAAACUCCACUCACUGGAACCUGUGGGCGCUCAACCCUUCCCGGGAAGGGGCACGCAGACUCAUCACUCACUGCAGAUGUUACUUUAAGACAUUCUGGAGCAGCGUCAUGUGCAGGAGAAAAUAGUAUCAUCUCAGCCUUCUAUGAAAUCAAGGCAAUAUGUGCGUAGUGCCUCCGCCCAUCUCUCUCUUGCUCCUGGUCUCAUCGUGACGGGCCUGGUCCUGCCUCACUUUAUGCCACGACUAAGAGCUCCCUGAGGCCUCUCCAGAAGCAGAUAUCACUAUGCUUCCUACACAGCCUGCAGAACCGAACAAUAAGGAAGUGAGUGCUUUUGUAAUUCCUGAACAACUGUGUCUUACACUUACUAAGGGAUUCAUGGGCAAUAUGACUGAAUAGGAACAGCUCCAGUCUGAAGCUCCCAGUGAGACCAACAUAGAAGUUCUCUUGCCUGCCACCAUGUAAGAUAUGCUUUUACUCUUCCGCCUUCCACCGUGACUGUGAGGCCUCCCCAGCCAUGUGAAACUGCCUUUGAGCUUAUACUGAAUUAUACCACCAGCUUUCCUAGGUCUUGAAGCUUACAGACAGCAGAUCUUGGGACUUCUCAGGCACCAUAAUCAAUCAUAGAUAAAUGAUCCAAUGAUUCGGAACUUGAAAAGUGGUAGCUUUAUGAAUUCUCCUUAAGAAGAAACCUGUGCCCUGAUCUUGCCUACUCACCCAAAGGCACUGUGAGAUAGCAUCAAAGGAACAGCUAGUAAGAGACACAGAGCCAGAAAUCAGGGAAGUAAAAUACACUUGACAUCUACGUUCGGAAAGAAAUUUUAGGAGGCAGAAGCAAAUGGAUCAGAAGCUGCUUAUAUUUUUGCAAGAUUACCAAAGAAACCAUUGGUGGAGAAAGUUCUGUGACCAACUUGUCUGAGUCUAGUAAGAUUGAACGCUCACACACAAGUUUCAUGAAGUGGGUUUGAUACUUACAGAUAAGCAGCAAGGACCAACAGAAGCUGAUGAUCUAUGGUGAACUUUUUCCCAAGGCUCCGGAAAGCUGCCUAAAGUAGAUGGAGUCUUCUCUGUGUGUGCCCCACUGGUCCUGCAGUUGAAGGAUCCGGUAAAGCAGCCUGCCCUUGGUUUUAUACUCCAGAGGAACGUGAUUCGCUGGACUAAAGCAUUGAAGUGCAUCCUGUUUCCGGGGGGCACUGGAACAGAGCCUGGUCUGUUCUAGCCAGUCCCUUUCUAUCUCAGGAUAACAUUCUACAGUUAUUCUUGAGAACUAUAAUCAAAUAAGCAGGGAGAACUGGGAAAGCAGAGGCUCAUUGUGGAACCCUCAAGGAGCAUGGGGUCGUCUUCAUCCCUCAGUUUAUAAAUGGCCAAGGAGAGUAAUGCAACAAAAACUUCUCAGAGUUAAAAGCCAGAGUUCCUAAAGAACCGUGGACAAAGGGUUCUGUCUAGUGGGCAGAAUUCAUCCAGCGAAGGAAAUUUGGAACCCAGGUUUUCCCAACCUACAUCUACAAAAUGGAAUGGGUCUGAUUCGCAAGUUUUCAGAGAAAGAAGCCAACCUUAAUCAGACUGUGAUAUGAUGAGGAAAUAAAACUUGCUGUGCUAAUC
rnacentral:lncRNA from 1 species